rnacentral:rRNA from 1 species
CUGUUUACACAUCCACUCACACCUGUGCACCCUCUGUAGUUCUAUGGUCUGGGGGACCCUGUCUUCCUUCUGUGGUUCUACGUCUUUACACACACACUGUAAUAAAGUUUUAUGGAAUGUACAUCGCGUCUAACGCAAUACAAUACAACUUUCAGCAACGGAUCUCUUGGCUCUCGCAUCGAUGAAGAACGCAGCGAAAUGCGAUAAGUAAUGUGAAUUGCAGAAUUCAGUGAAUCAUCGAAUCUUUGAACGCACCUUGCGCCCCUUGGCUAUUCCGAGGGGCAUGCCUGUUUGAGUAUCAUGAACACCUCAACUCUCAUGGUUUGCCAUGAUGAGUUGGACUCUGGGGGUUUUGCUGGCCUGUGGUCGGCUCCUCUCAAAUUAAUCAGCCUCCCAGUGUUUGGUGGCAUCACGGGUGUGAUAAAUAUCUACGCUCGCUGUUGUCUGCCAGGUAACCUUUGGUCACAAAGGUUUGCUGGAGCUCACAGAUGUCUCUCCUCAGCGAGGACAGCUUUUUUAACGUUCGAUCUCAAAUCAGGUAGGACUACCCGCUGAACUUAAGCAUAUCAAUAAGCGGAGGAAAAGAAACUAACAAGGAUUCCCCUAGUAACUGCGAGUGAAGCGGGAAAAG